rnacentral:rRNA from 1 species
AUUGAACGCUGGCGGCAUGCUUUACACAUGCAAGUCGAACGGUAACAGGGUGCUUGCACCGCUGACGAGUGGCGAACGGGUGAGUAAUGCGUCGGAACGUGCCGAGUAGUGGGGGAUAACGCAGCGAAAGUUGUGCUAAUACCGCAUACGUCCUGAGGUAGAAAGUGGGGGACCUUCGGGCCUCACGCUAUUCGAGCGGCCGACGUCUGAUUAGCUAGUAGGUGAGGUAAAGGCUCACCUAGGCGACGAUCAGUAGCGGGUCUGAGAGGAUGAUCCGCCACACUGGGACUGAGACACGGCCCAGACUCCUACGGGAGGCAGCAGUGGGGAAUUUUGGACAAUGGGCGAAAGCCUGAUCCAGCCAUGCCGCGUGUCUGAAGAAGGCCUUCGGGUUGUAAGGGACUUUUGUCAGGGAGGAAAUCCCUAGCGUUAAUACCGCUGGGGGAUGGCAGUACCUGAAGAAUAAGCACCGGCUAACUACGUGCCAGCCGCCGCGGUAACAC